rnacentral:lncRNA from 1 species
GACCGGGAGUUAGCUGGUAAUGGGUGCCGCCUUGUUGGUUGCUGCCUGCCCCUUUGCUUGUCUGGUAUGCCGAAAGUAACGUUUCGUUUCGUUUGCAGUGCUCAAGGUGAACACCAAAAAGCACCUGGAUGACCUGGUCAAGGACCGGGACUCCUGGAAGGUCAACUGUUGCAGGAUCUGGAAAGGAGUGUCCCCGGUCCUAGACCUGAUCAGUCCCGAGCUCCCGGAGAGCCAGC